UACGUAGGGUGCAAGCGUUAAUCGGAAUUACUGGGCGUAAAGCGUGCGCAGGCGGCUGUGCAAGACAGAUGUGAAAUCCCCGGGCUCAACCUGGGAAUUGCAUUUGGGACUGCACGGCUAGAGUGUGUCAGAGGGGGGUAGAAUUCCACGUGUAGCAGUGAAAUGCGUAGAGAUGUGGAGGAAUACCGAUGGCGAAGGCAGCCCCCUGGGAUAACACUGACGCUCAUGCACGAAAGCGUGGGGAGCAAACAGG
rnacentral:rRNA from 1 species